rnacentral:snoRNA from 1 species
AUUCCGUGAUGAGGGCACUUCCAUAAUAAUUCUUUGUACCUUUCCCAUGCCUUAUACAAUGACUCAUCAUCUAUUUUUAGAAAGUAGUGAUCUCGUUCCUCAACUU